CCUACGGGAGGCUGCAGUGAGGAAUAUUGGUCAAUGGGCGCUAGCCUGAACCAGCCAAGUAGCGUGAAGGAUGACUGCCCUAUGGGUUGUAAACUUCUUUUAUAUGGGAAUAAAGUGCAGUAUGUAUACUGCUUUGCAUGUACCUCUUGAAUAAGCCACGGCUAACUACGUGUCAGCAGCCGCGGUAAUACGUAGGUGGCAAGCGUUGUCCGGAUUUACUGGGUGUAAAGGGCGUGCAGCCGGGAAGACAAGUCAGAUGUGAAAUCCCGCGGCUCAACCGCGGAACUGCAUUUGAAACUGUUUUUCUUGAGUACCGGAGAGGUCAUCGGAAUUCCUUGUGUAGCGGUGAAAUGCGUAGAUAUAAGGAAGAACACCAGUGGCGAAGGCGGAUGACUGGACGGCAACUGACGGUGAGGCGCGAAAGCGUGGGGAGCAAACAGGAUUAGAUACCCCAGUAGUC
rnacentral:rRNA from 1 species